GUCAAAUAAAAAGCUCUGUCAGGAGGACGUGGUAAAGAGGCGGCGUCGUGUCUAACGCGGGCCCUGCGCUCCCUG